rnacentral:sRNA from 1 species
AUGAAGUUUAGUUUUUUUUUAACAGGUCACAUGUUUAAUUCAUAAUAGUACUAUUUCAAACUUGCAUAUGUGAUUUAAAUAUAAUAUAAAUGAAUGGCAGAGGUAACUUCAGAUGCAGAGCCUGAUCUCCAUUAUCAAGGAUGCUAAAAAAAAUAUCCUACCUCAUUCAAUCGUACUUGAUAGAUGUGUUCGUUGUUAAAUGAUAUAACAUGAUUCCUAUUACAUGCAUAAUUAUAUUCUUUGAUA